ACGGUACCUGAAGAAUAAGCACCGGCUAACUACGUGCCAGCAGCCGCGGUAAUACGUAGGGUGCGAGCGUUAAUCGGAUUACUGGGCGUAAAGCGGGCGCAGACGGUUACUUAAGCAGGAUGUGAAAUCCCCGGGCUCAACCUGGGAACUGCGUUCUGAACUGGGUGACUAGAGUGUGUCAGAGGGAGGUAGAAUUCCACGUGCAGCAGUGAAAUGCGUAGAGAUGUGGAGGAAUACCGAUGGCGAAGGCAGCCUCCUGGGAUAACACUGACGUUCAUGCCCGAAAGCGUGGGUAGCAAACAGGAUUAGAUACCCUGGUAGUCCACGCCCUAAACGAUGUCGAUUAGCUGUUGGGCAGCUUGACUGCUUAGUAGCGAAGCUAACGCGUGAAAUCGACCGCCUGGGGAGUACGGUCGCAAGAUUAAAACUCAAAGGAAUUGACGGGGACCCGCACGAAGCGGUGGAUGAUGUGGAUUAAUUCGAUGCAACGCGAAGAACCUUACCUGGUCUUGACAUGUACGGAACCCUCCAGAGACGGUAGGGG
rnacentral:rRNA from 1 species